UGGCUUCAGCACACAAAAAGAUGAGAGUGGUCUUCUCACGAAACUAUGAGCAUGAAAGCAAAUGUGUAUUUCCCAAAAUUUCAAACCUUUUGAGUCAACAUCAAAGCCGUAAUCAUUUUUAUUAGAGAAAAUUAUGGUUAACUGAUGGAUGUGCUUCAGCCAAAGCCUGUUGUUCAAUGUAAACCCAACUUUAAUGGACGCAGUUAAACUUUUACUGCACAAAAUUUUUGAACCUGCAGUGUGGAACUUGUCUCCCCCUUGUGGCAGUAAGAGUAAUUACACAAAGACUGUUGGUGUGCUUAUGGUGAGAUAGGCUCCACCAAAGUACUGUUUGCCUACUCGUCACUGCACUUGCUCCCCCAUUCAGAGCUGGCCAAUCAGACUUUGCUGAAAUGCAACGUUGCAAUGGACUCGAAAUUUGAAAACUCUGGGAGGGGAAGAACAGGAUAACAUCAAGAUGGAAAGGCAGUAUAAAAUAAAUAACUAAACAAAGGCUCAGCUUUGCUGGGUGAUCUGAAGAGAGCAGCAGGACAAACGUCAGAGAGGAGGUCCAUUCAGUCUGUGGCAAAAAGGACAACAAGACAGACAGAAUGACACUGAAAAGCAUGACUGUGCCCCAGUGCACAAAGCAAAGUCCAUAAAGACAUGGUUGGAUGAGUUUGGUGU